GAUGAACGAGGGAGGGGGGAAGAAGACAGGAAAGUGGAGCGAACAGAUGAGGAGCUUGCUCCUCUGACGUUAGCGGCGGACGGGUGAGUAACACGUGGAUAACCUACCUAUAAGACUGGGAUAACUUCGGGAAACCGGAGCUAAUACCGGAUAAUAUAUUGAACCGCAUGGUUCAAUAGUGAAAGACGGUUUUGCUGUCACUUAUAGAUGGAUCCGCGCCGCAUUAGCUAGUUGGUAAGGUAACGGCUUCCCAAGGCAACGAUGCGUAGCCGACCUGAGAGGGUGCUGGGCCACACUGGAACUGAGACACGGUCCAGACUCCUACGGGAGGCAGCAGUAGGGAAUCUUCCGCAAUGGGCGAAAGCCUGACGGAGCAACGCCGCGUGAGUGAUGAAGGUCUUCGGAUCGUAAAACUCUGUGAUUCCGGAAGAACAAAUGUGUAAGUAACUAUGCACGUCUUGACGGUACCUAAUCAGAAAGCCCCGGCUCCCUACGUC
rnacentral:rRNA from 1 species